rnacentral:rRNA from 1 species
AUGGCACCCAAGGCGGCGGAGAAGAAGCCGGUGGUGGCCGCGGAGAAGACCCCGGCGGGGAAGAAGCCCAAGGCGGAGAAGCGGGCGCCGGCGUCCAAGGAGGCCGGCGGCGAGGGCAAGACGAGGGGCAGGAAGAAGGGCAGCAAGGCCAAGAAGGGCGUGGAGACGUACAAGAUUUACAUCUUCAAGGUGCUGAAGCAGGUGCACCCGGACGUAGGCAUCUCCUCCAAGGCCAUGUCCAUCAUGAACUCCUUCAUCAACGACAUCUUCGAGAAGCUCGCCGGGGAGUCGGCCAAGCUGGCGCGGUACAACAAGAAGCCCACCAUCACGUCCCGGGAGAUCCAGACCUCCGUCCGCCUCGUCCUCCCUGGGGAGCUCGCCAAGCACGCCGUCUCCGAGGGCACCAAGGCCGUCACCAAGUUCACUUCAUCCUAG